UAACAAUAAGAAUUGGGGGGAAAAAAACAAGAAUUGGGAAAAAAGCAGCACUCUUCAUUGUCUAGCAUUUUUCAGCCUAUGUGAGCUUGCGCAGGUGUGCCUUCCCAUCGCUAUGGCGGAGCAGAAAGCGCAAAGCCACGGAGUCAGGUGGAGCGAGGUUUCUGUCCUUGCUCUGUCUCUGCCUAGCUGCCUGACCCUGGGCAAGUUACUUCUCCUGACUGAGCCGUGGUUUCCUGGUCUUAGAGAGAGAACGGUCACUCCCCUCUGCAAGGGUGACUGUGAGGAUUAGAAAUAAUGGGACAGACACAGUGCCAGGCACAUUGGAGGCCUUCAGCAAAGGAAGCCUUCUACUCUUGGCUUCUCUGAGAUUGGGGUCGUCUAGGAGUAGGUGUUGUGACAGGUGGAGAAGCACUGGAUGGGAAACACAGUAAUACUGGGGACAGAAUGGAGGGCAGUGGGCAAGGAAGGGAAAGGAAAUAGCUGAUGAAAUAGCCACUAGAAGGAAAUUGGGCUAGAAAACAAGCACCCCCCUUGUCAGUUGAGCCUGUGCACCUGAUGGGAUAAUCAGGGUGGUAAAAGGCGUUGAAGGAAAAAAUUCCAAAACCCAAGCUGUCCUGCACAGCCGGACCUCACAGUGGAGGUUCCAUGAGGCCUCCACAGCAUUUACUUGGCUCCCUUUUAUUUUCUUGUGCUCUUCCCCAUUCCCCGGGCUUGCAUCUGACUUUCUCUGUGGGUGGAGACGGCUCCUGGGAGCAUCCAUGGAGGCAGGCUCUGUAUUGAGCAGCCCAUGAAGACAGAGGAUGAGCCGCCGGCUGGGGCCAACAGGACAAGUAGACAGGCAGCUCAGGACUGUGCCUGGGGGUGAGGCAGGGAGCAAACGCGGAGCCCAGGUCAUAUUAUUUCAGAGCUAGAAGUGUUUGGACCACUCUAUCUCCGUCUGGAGGGUAUCUUGAC
rnacentral:lncRNA from 1 species